AUACUACAAUGGGGAUCUCUCCUGAAUAAAUUUCUCAACUUGUACAUUAGGUGGUUGUAGGAAAUUUAAACUAUUCAUGCCCAUCCUUAGCUUGGUCUAGAUGCUAACACAUUGUUCUCGUAUUGUAGUUGAAAUGAUUCAGAAAUUUUCUUGCAUCAGAUUAUUGCGCUUAUUUUAUUUUCCAACUUAUCAAUUCAAUCGUCUGCAUGCCCAACAAAAUUGCAUGAAACAGGGGAUAUUUUCGUGCUUCUGCAGCUGAAAUUUCCGCAGACAGUCUAAACUCUAAAUAUUCCUUGGACAGCAGAUCGACUUACUCAUGAUCACCAAUGGUCUUCACCUACAGGUGAGAUGGACAGCUUAUGCAUUGAAAUGUUUGAAGAAAGACAACCCAGCGUGGUAGAGGAUCAUAUAGCCUGAGAGAGCUUCCGCUGACACUCCAGUCGACAACGACUUCUCGAGCUUGGCAUGCCAUCUUGUUUCACCCCUCUUUUUCUUGGCAAAGUUGUUUCACCCCUCAUGAUCUCCUUUCUGUAUAUAUACUGAACUUACAAAGCCAAAUAUAAGUAUCUGGUUUUCUCUCAAUGUCUAUUAGUUGGAGACACUGCUGUAGUAUUUUCCUAUAGCGUUUUAUCAGGACCCUACACUUGAGUGCCCAACAGAGGAGCCGUUUAAGCUGUGUAUCCGUGGAGACAUUGCAAAUAUCUAAUAUGCUUAUAUAUUUGUUGCCCUUCUUAUUUUUUUAUAUUUACGUGCCUUUCGAAUUUAAAGCGUGGCUCCAUGGCACUUCUUUUGUUAUUUCAGAUGUUGAGGAAAUUUACUAAACAAUUGAAUUGGGAGGACUCAAGUUGGAAUAUCUUCAAUACUCUCUUUUUGGCUAUUGAAUCAAUAGCUGUUCUAUGGUGGAGGUAAAGGAUCGUGGCAGUACCACCGCCUACCAUUUCCUUGUCCCUGAGGUGCGAGGCCACCGCGUACUUCUCCCCUCUCCUGGCUCACUCUUCCUCCGGAGUCCACAAACCGCAGCCAAGAAAUCCACUAAGCAGAAAAACUUGAUGCGAGCCUCUCCGCCUGGCACGUGUCUGUCACUGGAGUGGAGUGGAGUACAGAUUAAUCCGCACUGAAGUCACGGUGCUGCCUAACUUCCUUGGAUGCUUUCUGGACAGAGGCACUUUGUAUUCAGGUAAAACCAACCUUUUCGUAGCAGUUGGUAUUUUCCAAUUGCAUUGUUCAUCACUAAAUAGAAUCACAUUUCGCAUGUAUUAUCUGUCUGUUGCUAAACUACGUGUCAAUAUUUUUUUGCAAUCCAAAGAAACUCAUGAACCCACUGAAAACCUAUAUAUGAAGUUCUAGAUGGAGAAUGGUCCGAUUGCGUGCAUCUGAUCCCGCAUCAAGAGUACUGUUUUCUAGAGUAUGAUGGGCAUCUGAAUGAAUUUACCUUUCUCAUGUUCAUCGCCGAGAGUGCAUAGGUGCUGGAGAGGAUGGUGGUUGAGUUAAAGUUCGGAAGUAUGAUGCACAUCUGUAGAUUGCUAUUAAGAUGAAAGCUAUGGAUCAUGCCAAAUGGGUCCGUGGAGGCAGUCCCAAACUGCUACUUGAUGGAGGAACUUCGAUACCCAGGUUGGUGUUGUCCUUGGUUAUGGCACCCCAAGGUCUGAAUUUUGGCUAUACCCAUCGAGAGCUUCUAUUGCAUUUUUUUUGUCAUUCAUUGUAAUCUUUCACUCUAUUGGGUAAAUUUUAUUGAGUAGUGCUCACUGCUUCUAUUAUGAUGAGCGUGAGAGGGUCCAUGGAAAUGCAUCCUGAUGUUCCUUAUUUCUCUAAUCUCAAGGGAGAUCAUCUCAGUUGAUCGAUGUAUAAGUAUAUGUACUGGUUUCUGAAUUCAAACGUGCAAGGGAGAAGGUGCAUGUGGAGGGGUAUGGUGUUGCGCAGGCAUAGGAGAAGUAAAUGGUGCGGACGGCGUCCGCAACCGCUUCAUUGGGCUGGUUCAGGACGUAAUACUCUGUAAUAGAUAUGUAUGGUGCUCGGAUCCUCUACAUUUCCUCCCGAUGACCCUAAAUUUGCAACAUUAUUUCUAGAUAUGAAUCAUGGAACAACAACAAUUAUAGAUAGUGAAAAGGCACGAUAAAUAUUAAAUUAUGUAUGAUAUUAUAAUUUCUGAGCUUUUGCUUAUAUGGUGUAACAAAUGUGUGACUGAACUGCUGCUUAGAUGAUGUAC